CUAUUCAUGAUAUAAUAAUCUUACAGGUUUAACGGCGGUAGCUAAAUCCAUGUUCGAAAGUGGGUGAUGCCUAUGAUUGUAAAUCAUAGAUCACAGAAACUAACGAAGGGAGUUAGCAGUAAUGUCUGUAUCAGAUGCGAUCAGUUUAAUGCUGAUGUUUGGUACAUUCUUAGUUGCUUUGUUGAGUUAU
rnacentral:sRNA from 1 species